CUUAUCUUUACCCAAUUACUACCUUGCCUAUGACUUUGGGAUAGACCUUUCCCUCUGUAGGUCUGAGUUGUCCCCUUGUCCCAUGAGAGGUCGGCUAGGUUAUUUCCAGUGCCCACCCAAUUCUGCCAUCUGUGGUGCUCAUCCUUUGCCUUUGUUUCUUAGAGAGAUUAAACUAACCCCCAUUGAGCCUGAGUUUUCUAUCAUUGGCCACUUGUCUUUGGUGGGCUGCUGCCGAUACCUACUUGUCCUGGGACCUGUUAGUUCUGGUGGGUGAUUCUGCUGCUGGUCUGCAGAGCAGAGGGUACCCAGCCUGUUGCGGCAUAGCCUCUGGUCACUGCCCAGGCUUGAUUCUCUCUUUACUCUAUGGCUCUUCUCCCUCCCUCAGUUCCUCAGUCAUUCAGCCAGAACACUUCAGUGCAGGAUCUGGGAGCAGAGACCUGGGAAUGGCAUAGUUUUUGCCUGUGGAGAGCUCAUCACCUGAAAUGUGAGCAUGACUAGCA
rnacentral:lncRNA from 1 species